CAUAAGUUUUUAUGUUGUUCGCAUUCCACCAGGAAGAUGAAGUAGAACUCUACUUAUCUUAAUAAUUUAGUGCAGUAUGAUAUAUGCAACAGUUGUCCUAAUCAUUAAAAUUUUCCAAAGAGUAUCCUUCGGUUUGUUUGCUUCCUAUUUCCAAAAGGUCUCUACUGUUUGUUUUUUAGCUGAGAUUUUUUUAUUUAGGUACUUCACUAGAGAGGAGCGAUCUGCAACAGUUGGCUGCUAUGUAUAUAUAUGUUACGGGCCAGCGCACAGAUUUUUUGCCGUCGAGAUCAACUUCCUACACACAAGUGAAUUACUUCUGGAGUUCAAUUGUUACUACAUUGAAGAGAAAUACGAUAGCAUCUAAUAAUCCACUAAGGUUGCUAGGCAAAACCAUGACAGCUACAAGAUGAAUUUUAAGCUCUAUAAAAAGAAUAUAUCAGAAGUGCAUGGAUCCUAUUCUUUACCUUUUUUAUUCGGCAUGUGGAGUUACCGACUUCAUAUUCUAUGUGGAUAUAAGGAUGGAUUUACUUGGGUCAGGCACACUUUGUUGUGGGGUUACGGCUACAAGGGGAUGCUUCAUCAGAGAUCAGGGUUGUUGGUACAAAAUAUGAGGUGACUAUUGGAAAUUUAUUCAGAUCAUUGUAACAGAAACUCAUCAAUUCCCUGCUAUUGAUUAUUUUCCGAAUUGGAGUAUGUGCCUAAUCACUGUUUUGUCUUUGUACCAUUAGAGCUUUACAGCCAUUUUAUUGGGGAUAAAAUGAAGUGAUAAACCUACAGUACUUGAAAAUAUUAUU